GCCGGUAUGGUGGAAUUGGUAGACACAUCUGGUUUAAGCCCAGAUUGUUAUGAGCAGUGCGAGUUCAAGUCUCGCUUCCGGUA
rnacentral:tRNA from 1 species